GCCCUUAGAGUUUGAUCAUGGCUCAGAUUGAACGCUGGCGGCAGGCCUAACACAUGCAAGUCGAGCGGUAACAGAUCCAGCUUGCUGGAUGCUGACGAGCGGCGGACGGGUGAGUAACGCAUAGGAAUCUACCCGGUAGUGGGGGAUAACCUGGGGAAACUCAGGCUAAUACCGCAUACGUCCUACGGGAGAAAGGGGGCCUUGGCUCCCGCUAUCGGAUGAGCCUAUGCCGGAUUAGCUGGUUGGUGAGGUAAUGGCUCACCAAGGCAACGAUCCGUAGCUGGUCUGAGAGGAUGAUCAGCCACAUCGGGACUGAGACACGGCCCGAACUCCUACGGGAGGCAGCAGUGGGGAAUAUUGGACAAUGGGGGCAACCCUGAUCCAGUCAUGCCGCGUGUGUGAAGAAGGCCCUCGGGUUGUAAAGCACUUUCAGCGAGGAAGAACGCCUGUCGGUUAAUACCCGGCAGGAAAGACAUCACUCGCAGAAGAAGCACCGGUUAACUCCGUGCCAGCAGCCG
rnacentral:rRNA from 1 species